UACGUAGGGUGCGAGCGUUGUCCGGAAUUAUUGGGCGUAAAGGGCUCGUAGGCGGUUUGUCGCGUCGGGAGUGAAAUCCACUGGCUUAACUGGUGGCUUGCUUUCGAUACGGGCAGACUGGAGGUAUGCAGGGGAGAACGGAAUUCCUGGUGUAGCGGUGAAAUGCGCAGAUAUCAGGAGGAACACCGAUGGCGAAGGCAGGUCUCUGGGCCGAAACUGACGCUGAGGAGCGAAAGCGUGGGGAGCGAACAGG
rnacentral:rRNA from 1 species